CAUCAUCCCAAAUGCCGGAGAAGCAGGCGAGGGUUUAAAGGCGCGCGUCGAAGAAGAAGGCUGUUCCCACCACCUCCGCCAACUCCUUCCUAGUUACAUUGGAACCUCUCUCAUCUUCCUCCUAUCCUCACCCCAUUCGCACGCUCUGAUGUGCAGUAACGCCCCCUUCGUGCUCCGCACCGUCAAAUCAUCUCCCUUCGUUCCGUGCCCCAAUCCCCCCCUCUCGGUCCCUCCUCCAAUCCGUCUCCCGAUCACCGACACAUGCUGCGAGGCGUCGUGAGCGAGGCCGCGUGCUCCUACCGUACAAUCAGUUUCUCCGGCCGGUGCAAACGGUGGAUCCCCUCCGUUUCCAACUUCCUCGGUUCCUCUCGAGACUCGAUUGUGUGCGACAAGGAUCGGGUGUCGGACCUUGGGAGGCCGAUCGGUAAUAGGUUCUUGGAAGUUGACUACCGUCAAAACCAGGAAUCGUUGCCCUUUUUUCUGUGCGCCACGUUGUCAAUUGCUGGUGUUCCGACGGAUUUCAGGAGUUUUGCUGGCCUACAUGUGGCGGCUUCUUCGACUGAUGUAGACGAGGAGACUCCCUCCGCAGGAGACGUACAACGCUUCUUGAAUGGGUGGGGCAAGGAUGAGGUGAACGAAGAUGGUAAAGCACGCGCUAGUUUCAGCGGGUCCCCGCCGGAGAGACGGUUUCAGCACCGUCCCAAGUUGGUGGCUGGAAUGCGUGCAAGAAAGUACUACGUACUUCGUCGGAGACAAAUUAAGAUAGAGACUGAAGCUUGGGAGCAGGCGGCUAAGGAGUACAAGGAACUCUUGACGAAUAUGUGUGAGCGGAAGUUGGCCCCAAACUUACCGUAUGUGAAGUCCUUGUUCUUGGGAUGGUUCGAGCCAUUGAGGGACCGAAUUGCCGUGGAGCAGGAGCAGUGCAGGGUUUCAAGAUAUAAGUCAUCACUUGUUCCUUACUUCAAUCAGCUUCCUGCAGAUUUGAUGGCGGUGAUCACUAUGCACAAGAUGAUGAGUCUUCUGAUGACUGGCAGUGAAAAUGGAAGUGUUCUUGUUGUUCAGGCUGCAUGCAAAAUUGGUGAUGCCAUCGAGCGUGAGGGAAGGAUUCACAGAUUUAUGGAGAAAACUAGGGAAAAAAGAGACAAGGAUAAGAGAAGUGAAGAUGCUGGUUAUACAGUUACCAGAGAGCAAGAAUCUUUAAGGAAAAAGGUCUUAAAGUUGAUGAAAAAGCAAAAGCCUCACCAAGUACGAAAACUGGUCAACGGUGAAGAUGAUUCCAAACCCUGGGGCCAAGGUUUAAAGUCUUUUUUUAAGGUUGGAAGCUGCUUGAUUGAACUCUUACUAGAUACAGCUUAUAUACAAUCUCCUGUUAGUCAGUCUCCUGAUGGUCCUCCUGAUUUUCGGCCUGCGUUCUGACACUCUUUGAGAACUAUCAUCACAAAAGAACAACAGAAACUUAUUCGGUGCUUUGGGGUUAUUGAGUGUGAUCCUGUAGUUCGUCAAGGUCUAGAUAGAACCGCAAGACACAUGGUUAUUCCUUACAUGCCAAUGUUGAUACCUCCAGUAAAUUGGAAAAGCUAUGACAGAGGAGCAUAUUUGUUUCUUCCGUCUUAUAUAAUGCGGACACAUGGAUCAAGACAACAACGAGAGGCUGUUAGAAGGGCACCAAGAGAGCAGAUGCAAGCCAUUUUUGAGGCACUGGAUACACUAGGCAAUACCAAAUGGAGGGUUAAUUAAAGGGUGUUAAGCAUUGUAGACAGAAUAUGGUCGAGUGGAGGACGUCUUGCUGAGUUGGUUGAUCAUGAAGAUUUGGGGGCCAUCUCUGUGAAUCUAAUUGCUGGAGAAAAGCCUGCAGAUGUAUACUCGGAAAUAGCGGCUAGAGUUCUUGGUAUCAUGCGAAGAGAUGCAGACAAGGACCCUACUGUCAAUCGAGAUGCUUUACGUGCUAGGCUAUUAGUUGAUCAGGUGGACAGAAAGUUGGUUAAGCAGACUGUCAUGACAUCAGUUUAUGGUGUCACAUACGUUGGGGCCCGUGAGCAAAUCAAUAGAAGAUUAAAGGAACGGGGUUUGAUUGCUGAUGACACAGAACUAUUUGGUGCAUCAUGUUAUGCUGCCAAAACCACGUUGACUGCAUUAGGGGAGAUGUUUCAGGCUGCACGGAGUAUUAUGAACUGGCUUGGUGACUGUGCUAAGGUGAUUGCUUCAGAAAAUCAUCCUGUAAGGUGGACUACCCCUAUCGGACUUCCAGUGGUUCAACCUUACCGAAAAUUGGAAAAUCAUCUGGUGAGAACUUCCCUUCAAGUAUUGACCUUAAAAUGGGAAACUGAAAAGGUCUCUGUCAGGAGACAGAGAACAGCUUUUCUUUCCCCCAAACUUUGUGCAUUCUCUUGACGGUUCCCACAUGAUGAUGACUGCAGUUGCCUGUAAAAGAGCCGGAUUGAACUUUGCAGGCGUCCAUGAUUCAUACUGGACCCAUGCUUGUGAUGUGGAUCAGAUGAACCGAAUUCUUUGUGAGAAGUUUGUAGAACUCUACGAGAGACCUAUAUUGGAAGAGUUACUGGAGAGCUGUCAGCAGUCCUUCCCCACCCUAAAUUUCCCACCAUUGCCAGAACGAGGAGAUUUCGACCUUCAAGACGUCCUGGAAUCGCCAUAUUCCUUCAACUGAUAUGGCACUAUUUUCCUUGCCAUUCAACCUCCAAUUUGCUGCCUUAUUUUCUUGUGGGCGGCUUGGUGUACGUAAGUCUACAUCCUCGGUCUCUUGGGCAAUGUCGAAGCUAACGCUUGCGCUGUGGGUGCAGCAGCAUUAACGAUCAGCAAAAGCUUCAGUGUGGAUGCAACAGGAGUCGCUUCCCUGUAAGUAAAUAUAAUAUGCGUGUGAUCCUGUCUUAGAUUUACCAAGAGACAGCUCUCCUGUGCGGUUUCUGGGAAUCGGGGAUGAUUGGCCAUGAGCUUUUGCUGCUCAACAUGGUCGUAUAAUGCUAGUGUGUUAUUGUUUGGGCUGAGACUGGCCAGGUGAUGUCGGGGAUUGACAGAAACGGGAGAGUGUCGUCAGUUUCAAGAUAGGUGUGAUGUGAUGGAGGAGACCAAGCUAAGUGUGGAUGAUGAACACGUUCAAGUUCACGCCGGGGAAGCCAGUGUGGCCAUGUCGGGGAUCUCCUACGGGAAAGAUACUCUUAAUCCAAUUCUGUAACAUGAGGCCCCCAAAGGAAGGCAAACUUGCUCGUCUUCCUUGCAUAAUUUGUGAGGACCCUUUGGAAGCAAGUAUUACAAAGAACAACUAUUUAUUUUUGUAUAUAUAUAUAUAUAUAUAGCAGCGAUCAAUUCUUGGAGAAUAGUGUUGUAAGAUGUCGAGUCUGUAUGUCAAUUCGUCAAUGCUAGAUUGGUAUAGAUUUGGUAAAUUUAAGCAAA